rnacentral:rRNA from 1 species
UGGGGAAUUUUGGACAAUGGGCGAAAGCCUGAUCCAGCAAUGCCGCGUGUGUGAAGAAGGCCUUCGGGUUGUAAAGCACUUUUGUCCGGAAAGAAAUCCUUGGCUCUAAUACAGUCGGGGGAUGACGGUACCGGAAGAAUAAGCACCGGCUAACUACGUGCCAGCAGCCGCGGUAAUACGUAGGGUGCAAGCGUUAAUCGGAAUUACUGGGCGUAAAGCGUGCGCAGGCGGUUUGCUAAGACCGAUGUGAAAUCCCCGGGCUCAACCUGGGAACUGCAUUGGUGACUGGCAGGCUAGAGUAUGGCAGAGGGGGGUAGAAUUCCACGUGUAGCAGUGAAAUGCGUAGAGAUGUGGAGGAAUACCGAUGGCGAAGGCAGCCCCCUGGGCCAAUACUGACGCUCAUGCACGAAAGCGUGGGGAGCAAACAGGAUUAGAUACCCUGGUAGUCCACGCCCUAAACGAUGUCAACUAGUUGUUGGGGAUUCAUUUCCUUAGUAACGUAGCUAACGCGUGAAGUUGACCGCCUGGGGAGUACGGUCGCAAGAUUAAAACUUCAAA